CAGCAGCCACGGUAAUACGUAGGGUGCAAGCGUUAAUCGGAAUUACUGGGCGUAAAGCGUGCGCAGGCGGUUUUGUAAGUCUGUCGUGAAAUCCCCGGGCUCAACCUGGGAAUGGCGAUGGAGACUGCAAGGCUAGAAUCUGGCAGAGGGGGGUAGAAUUCCACGUGUAGCAGUGAAAUGCGUAGAUAUGUGGAGGAACACCGAUGGCGAAGGCAGCCCCCUGGGCUAAGAUUGACGCUCAUGCACGAAAGCGUGGGGAGCAAACAGGAUUAGAGACCCCUGUAGUCCCUGUCUCUUAUAC
rnacentral:rRNA from 1 species